rnacentral:rRNA from 1 species
AAGGGAAAAUAAUGAUAAUACCUUACUAAGAGUGUCGGCCAAAUCUGGUGCCAGAAGACUCGGUAAGACCAGAGACGCAAACGUUAAUCAUCUUAAACAGGCGUAAAGGGUUUGUAGGCAGCUUUCAGAAGUACUAUAAUUAAGCAAAUAAAGUAGUCUAAUUGAAAGCUAGAAUCAAAUGGAGGUUAUAGUGUAUAACGCUUAGAGGAGGGCUGAUAUCCUUAGAUCCUAAGCAGAAUACUCAGGGCGAAGGCCACUUUCCACUAAUGAUUGACGCUGAGAAACGAAGGUUAGGGUAGGAAAUAGGAUUAGAUACCCCGGUACCCCUUUCUGUAAACGAUGAAUGGUAGUCAUUAGUUUAGAAAAACU